GAAAAGCUAAUGGCUAACGGCAUCGAGCAGCUACAGGCAGGGAGCGGUGGGUCUAGCGUCUGUCCUUUUUCUGUAAUCUCAUACACCUGCGGGGAACAGCUGAUCGUUAUCGCCCUUCCAGCGGCGACAGGCAGGAAGCGGUGGAUCUAGCUCGCUGUAGGAGCCACAUCCCAGUUACCUACAUGCAAGGAGGCUGCCAAACAGAGAAAUCACUGCAGACUGUUGGUACACGGACAUCUGCUGCCCAGCUCAGGAGUAAAGUACCUUUUUGUUUUGAUGAGGUGAUGGUGAGGACAGCCACAGCUUCCAUCUGGUAGAGGACUGCUUCCGCUCAGUCUUCCAAAUAGUGAUGAGAACAAGGAUCACCACAUCUCCCUGUUUACCCUACUUUCAUGCAUUUCGUCUGCAAGGCCCUGCAAAAGCUUCUCCUUCGUCCUCAAACCCCCAGACUUCUUAAUUAACUCAGUAACCUAUACAUUGCACAUUGGAGUGUGAAGGUAACAGUUUGUUCUAGCUUUGGAGUAGUGGUGCAUUUUUUUGGUUUACAAUAAAGUUGGCUUUAACUAUUA